rnacentral:rRNA from 1 species
GAUGAACGCUGGCGGCGUGCCUAAUACAUGCAAGUCGAGCGAACAGACGAGGAGCUUGCUCCUCUGACGUUAGCGGCGGACGGGUGAGUAACACGUGGAUAACCUACCUAUAAGACUGGGAUAACUUCGGGAAACCGGAGCUAAUACCGGAUAAUAUAUUGAACCGCAUGGUUCAAUAGUGAAAGACGGUUUUGCUGUCACUUAUAGAUGGAUCCGCGCCGCAUUAGCUAGUUGGCAAGGUAACGGCUUACCAAGGCAACGAUGCGUAGCCGACCUGAGAGGGUGAUCGGCCACACUGGAACUGAGACACGGUCCAGACUCCUACGGGAGGCAGCAGUAGGGAAUCUUACGCAAUGGGCGAAAGCCUGACGGAGCAACGCCGCGUGAGUGAUGAAGGUCUUCGGAUCGUAAAACUCUGUUAUUAGGGAAGAACAAAUGUGUAAGUAACUAUGCACGUCGUGACGGUACCUAAUCAGAAAGCCACGGCUAACUACGUG